rnacentral:rRNA from 1 species
AUUGAACGCUGGCGGCAGGCCUAACACAUGCAAGUCGAGCGGAGCGGCGGACGGGCGAGUAAUGCCUAGGAAUCUGCCUGCCCGUGGGGGAUAACUUCCGGCAACGGGCGCUAAUACCGCAUACUAUCAGAUGAGCCUAGUUGGGAUUGGUUAGUUGGUGGGGUAAGGGCCUACCUAGGCGACGAACCGUACCUGGUCUGAGAGGAUGAUCAGUCACACUGGAACUGAGACACGGCCCAGACUCCUACGGGAGGCAGCAGUGGGGAAUAUUGGACAAUGGGCGAAAGCCUGAUGCAGCCAGGCCGCGUGUGUGAAGAAGGUCUGCGGAUUGUAAAGCACUUUAAGUUGGGAGGCGUUACCAACAGAAUAAGCACCGGCUAACUCCGUGCCAGCAGCCGCGGUAAUAC